ACAUUUUCCUUUCGUCUGUGUGUAUAAACCUACAGACUGAUUGCACAGACAACUGAAUGAAGAGGGAACAUGAAGUAGCUACUGUGUCACUGUGUAUGAGAAGAAAGGUUGGUUUCAUAUUUUGGUGUGGGGAACACCAGGCAGGGAUGGAAGCUGACACUUUAGGCAGGACGUGUCAAGGAGAAAGGGCCUCUGUCUCCUAGUUGGUCAGGAGCCUUGACUCGGGUGGAGUGGGAAGGAAGGGAGACGUCUGUGAAAGAGUGAUCAGGCACAUAGUGUCAGGUCCAAAGGGCGGGCUCACCCUGUGGAGUUGCCAUGGGUGGCAGUUCUAACUGGAGUUCAGCGCCCUGUGGGGUCGAGAACACCAACCCACACAUCAGGAAAAAGGGCCAAUCAGGAGUCAAAGACAAGCUCUUAGGCUGGGAGUGAGGCAUGCUUCUAAAACCUUAGGGCCCUGAGGCACAAGCAGGAGGCAAUCAGUCUGCUAAGCCAAGAUCAGAAACCCUACUCAGAGGCCAGCUCCAGGCAGAGGUAAGAGGUAAGUCAUCGCUGGAUAAGGAAAAGCCUGAGAGCUUGACUGACAGAGAGUGUAUCUGAGUGGAGUUUUUCCCAGUCCAAGACCAAAGCCCUACUCACUUCCCCACAAGAUCCUUGAAGCCAGGUCUUCAUAGUGAACAAAUAGCAAAAGGGGCAAGGAACAAAACGAGGAGAGAUUUCCAUCAAUUGGUAGAAAACCUGCUUUAAUUCUUUGCUAAAUAUUAGUUGAAGAGAACGUGCCUCUUAGAUUCUGGGUAAGUCACUCAACCACAGUGGCCUUGUCUAUAAAAUGAGAAUGGCAUCAUAGCCCAGAUGAAAACAUGUUGGGGAGGAAUAAAUCCCCACUCCCACCUCAUCCCACACAGAG
rnacentral:lncRNA from 1 species